rnacentral:rRNA from 1 species
CACUGGUCAAUCUAGUGGCGAACGGGUGAGUAACACGUGGGUAACCUGCCCAUCAGAGGGGGAUAACAUUCGGAAACGGAUGCUAAAACCGCAUAGGUCUUCGAACCGCAUGGUUUGAAGAGGAAAAGAGGCGCAAGCUUCUGCUGAUGGAUGGACCCGCGGUGCAUUAGCUAGUUGGUGAGGUAACGGCUCACCAAGGCCGUGAUGCAUAGCCGACCUGAGAGGGUGAUCGGCCACAUUGGGACUGAGACACGGCCCAAACUCC